UCGUCAGCUCGUGUCGUGAGAUGUUUGGGUUAAGUCCCGUNACGAGCGCAACCUUGUCCCUAGUUGCCAUCAUUUAGUUUGGGAACUCUAGGGAGACUGCCGGUGAUAAACCGGAGGAAGGUGGGGAUGACGUCAAGUCAUCAUGGCCCUUACGGGUAGGGCUACACACGUGCUACAAUGGCCGGUACAGAGGCCGCAAACCCGCGAGGGGGAGCAAAUCUCACAAAACCGUCGUAGUCCGGAUUGGAGUCUGCAACUCGACUCCAUGAAGUCGGAUCGCUAGUAAUCGCGAAUCAGAUGUCGCGGUG
rnacentral:rRNA from 1 species